AAGUUCUGCCCAGGACUUUAAUGGGUUUCGAUAUCGCAGCGUCUAGCCAAGCUUCCAGACAAGCUCUUGAAGCGCCGGUUGUCAGUGGUCUCCAGUCUUAGCCGUGGCCCAGGCUAGCGGCUGCGUAGACCGCGCGAACGGCGCUCAGCUUGCGAGGCUUUCUCGCCGGGAUUUGGAAAGCAUAUGGCAGCUCGCUCAGUCGGCCCUGUGCGCCCAGGCAAGCGCGCUACUUUAGCGCUGCUUGCCCGAGGUGGCGCUCGGCAUCUGGCUGUGGGUUGCCUAGCGCUGCAGGAUGGUCCUCYUUUCACGUGCGCAUGCGGCGGCCAAGCCUUCUGCCUUCCGCGCCCUUUCGCGCGCUUGCGAAGGGCAGCGAGCUGGCGGGUUGCGGACGCUGCUUUGCGCUUACUUAAAGAGGGAAGCUGGAARSCCCAAMRAGUCCAAUGGGAU
rnacentral:rRNA from 1 species